rnacentral:rRNA from 1 species
UACGGAGGAUGCAAGCGUUAUCCGGAUUUAUUGGGUUUAAAGGGUGCGUAGGCGGGAAAAUAAGUCAGUGGUGAAAUCCUACAGCUUAACUGUAGAAUUGCCGUUGAUACUGUUUUUCUUGAGUAUGGUCAAGGAAGGCGGAAUGUGUAAUGUAGCGGUGAAAUGCUUAGAUAUUACACAGAACACCAAUUGCGAAGGCAGCUUUCUGGCCCAUUACUGACGCUGAGGCACGAAAGCGUGGGGAUCGAACAGGAUUAGAUACCCCUGUAGU